AGUAGGAGAGAGGAAUAACAUCGCGGGAGAGACAAAAAAGGCGGGAUCAGCCAGCAGCGGCUUCCCGCAGGUGCGAUUAAUUUGCAGUCUGGACAUGGAGGGGUGAACAUCUCCUGCUCUGACUGCAGCGCCAGGACUGGGCCGCCUGUGAGUGCUUUAGGACCGGGAGGACCCGCUCCUCGUUGAGAAGAGUGUUGGAGGGGGGGUGGUGUAUUGGACAGGCCAGAGAGGGCCCAUCUACAGGUGGUUCAUCGCCCCUUGAGUCAUCAUCUCCCCAACACCCAACCCAGCGUCCAGGCGCACCCUUGCUCAUUGCCCUACAACUCCGUCAACCUCCACCCCAUCUUCUCGACCCAGCUCCAAUGGCCGGAAGAGGAAGACAGCUGAGGAUCCUUUGGACACUGACAUUAUGGAUGACUUAAAGAAAUGGGAGGCACAGGAACAGAAUCAGUGGCAAGCAAAGGCUGUCUACGACAUCAUGGUACCAUGGAUGGUGUCUAUUCCUGCUGAUCAAAGUCUCCCGUUUGUCUCACACCAAAAACUGUUGUAUGAAUAAGAAAACAAAGCACACAACAUUAGGGUGGUGGGUAAUUUAGUCAUAUUUUUUGGCAUGUUUUUUAUAUUUAUUUCCUCAUUCACGUUACCGAUGUUUUACUUAGAUUUUUCUCUUAUUUCCACUUUUAACACACUUCACCUGUGAUUAGUAAAUAUCUAAAAGGUCUGCAAGUCUAUUUGUUUGGUUAUUUGUACUUGUGGCAGAA